rnacentral:sRNA from 1 species
AAAAUUAUCAAACAAAUUACAUAUCAAAUGAUAGAGAAAAAAACAUAGAUUUUUAUGUAUUUGAUAAAUUUUAGAAAAACAAAAUUCAUUAACGAGCAUUUUAAUUAUGAGAUAUUGGAGGAAUAUGAAAUAAUAAAUAAAAGAAAAGAAAAAAUUUAAAAAACCUGACCCACACACCUUUUUUCUUACGCCUUCUCUAUAGUUUGAGUGGCAUAAAUUCGUAAAUAUUACUUCUUUAGAGUGGGAAAAAGGAGUUUACAACAAAUGCAACAGUAACGAUAUGUAGUAUAAACCCAAUAUUAAAUAGUAAUUGUACUACUUUUCUAAUUAUUUUUCCAAAACGUACUGAUUCUCAAACAAACUCUUUUUUAAAUGAUA